rnacentral:ncRNA from 1 species
AAUAAGGUGUUGAAGGGAAGAGUAGGAUUAAGGUUAUUCUACAGAGAGCUGGAUUUAGGUGAAAACCAGUGAUUAAUGUUAUUCCGAAGAUGGCCCCUGAACUUUAUAGCCGAAGAUUUUAAGCUAUGACGGAAGCAGCCGUUACACUGCAAGGUUUAAUAACCUAGUGAGAUUUAAAUCGUGAGAUUUAGAUAAAUUAGAGUGGUACCGCGAAGACAGCCUUCGUCUCUAUA